CUAGAGAUCCCUUCUCCAGAGUUUUGCAGUAAGCCCAGGAUGUGGACGACUGUGGGAGAAGGAGCAAUCAUAGAGGGAUUUUCCUGUGCUAUUCACAUGAAGUUUCUGAUGCUCAGCAACGUGAGGACUUUCUGAAGUAGAGACUGGAUCAGAGGCUAACAGCUUCCUCACUUAAGUGUAAGGCUGACACCCAGCAGUACAAACAUGCUUACAAUGCCCUGAGGAAAGGCUAAGAAGAUGCUACAUGUCACGCCAACCAUCAGCGGAAAUCUUAACUGUUUAUUUUCUCUGGAAAUUCCUUCUUAAUGGUUUUUGUGCAUGUGGUUUUUUACUAUUAUUAUUAUUUAAAAAUCUGCUACCUAUCCAUUAAAUUACAUGCUUAGCAACUCGCAUGUAACAGCAAAAGAGACAAGAAUAAUCUUUAACCUGUUGGUUGGCAGUUCAUCUCAGCUUCUAGCACAAAUUUUGCCUCUAGGAAAUCAAGAAGUUAUUGAGGAUAAAAUCGAAAGCUUCAUAUUACUAAUAAGUACUCAGAUAUUAAAGGUCUCUUCCAUUAAAAUGCAGAGGCUGGCAAUCAUUGUUUAAAGAUAAUGGUUUUAACAUCAGCUAGGAAAAUAAGAUUUCGUUUAGUGAAAUUUGAUAUAAUUGGAAUAUGAAACAAUAGAGGAAUAGAUAAUGCAUUUAAUUUUCACAGGUGAAGACUUCAAUAAAUCAUCUGUGAACUUGCCACAAAUGAGUCCUGUUUACUAAACUGGGAAGUUGUAAGAGCAAUUUGUGCUUGAGUCGGUGUCUGGUUCAGAAGAGACAUCAAGACAAAGUGGGAAAUUAAUGGUGAAGAGAAUUGACCAAAGAAUAAGGCAGUAGACAAAAAUCAGUAGGAUGUGGUUUCCCAAUGCAGGGUGCUGAUUUUUAGCUAAGGAUAAUCUACUAUUUCAUAUCUGGAGCAACAUCUGUAUUUCUCCACUUUGGCAGAUACAAAACUUCCUGGUUUUUUACUCAUUCUUUGGAGAACAAGGCAGUUCCCAAUGUCUCUGCUUGUGAGAAAACAUCCUAGAGAGGCAUUGCUGUGACCUGGAGUGGAUUUUUCAGAAGAUAAGACAAUUAGAACUUAGCUCCCCAAAUGCAGAAAUCCCCCCCAAUCCACUUUCCUUCUCCUGUGCAUAGCAGGGUGUGCCAGGAGACUCCUCAACCAAAGUAUGAGGAGAAGAUAUACGAAUGUAUUAUCUACAGUUCAUGAAGGAGACAGAAGAGAGAUAAUAAGAGAAAAUAAUGAAUAAGUUUAGGGCCAAGUAGCUGUCUUUAAUGAGGUUAAUACCU